UCGCCGAAAGGCGAAUUAAUACCGCAUGUGAUUAGAGAGGACAUCCUUUCGAAAUUAAAGUCGGGGCAACCUGACGCUUCUUGUGGGGCCCGCGGCCUAUCAGCUAGUUGGUGAGGUAACGGCUCACCAAGGCUAAGACGGGUAGCUGGUCUGAGAGGACGACCAGCCACACUGGAACUGAGACACGGUCCAGACACCUACGGGUGGCAGCAGUCGAGAAUUUUUCACAAUGGGCGCAAGCCUGAUGGAGCGACGCCGCGUGGGGGAUGAAUGGCUUCGGCCCGUAAACCCCUGUCAUUCGCGAUCAACCCUUAUUAUUUAAAAGAUGAUAAGCUGAUAGUAGCGGAAGAGGAAGGGACGGCUAACUCUGUGCCAGCAGCCGCGGUAAUACAGAGGUCCCAAGCGUUGUUCGGAUUCACUGGGCGUAAAGGGUGCGUAGGUGGUGAGGUAAGUCGGAUGUGAAAGCUCGGAGCUCAACUCCGAAAUGGCAUUGGAAACUACCUUGCUCGAGGGUUGGA
rnacentral:rRNA from 1 species